rnacentral:rRNA from 1 species
GAUGAACGCUGGCGGCGUGCCUAACACAUGCAAGUCGAACGAAGCACCUUACCUGAUUCUUCGGAUGAAAGUUUGGUGACUGAGUGGCGGACGGGUGAGUAACGCGUGGGUAACCUGCCCUGUACAGGGGGAUAACAGCUGGAAACGGCUGCUAAUACCGCAUAAGCGCACGAGGAGACAUCUCCUUGUGUGAAAAACUCCGGUGGUACAGGAUGGGCCCGCGACUGAUUAGCUGGUUGGCAGGGUAACGGCCUACCAAGGCAACGAUCAGUAGCCGGUCUGAGAGGAUGAACGGCCACAUUGGAACUGAGACACGGUCCAAACUCCUACGGGAGGCAGCAGUGGGGAAUAUUGCACAAUGGGGGAAACCCUGAUGCAGCAACGCCGCGUGAGUGAAGAAGUAUUUCGGUAUGUAAAGCUCUAUCAGCAGGGAAGAUAAUGACGGUACCUGACUAAGAAGCUCCGGCUAAAUACGUG